CUGGCCUUGUUUUCUAAAUGUUUGAUGUGAGUGGCUCACCUUCCCAGCCUGGGCUGUGAUGGUGCCUCCCCAUCAGCCUGGAACCAGAUGGAAACUGAGGCCUCCAAGCCCCUGCUGAAACUCCUCCUGUGGCUCGGCGCCGCUCCAGGACAGUUGCCUCUUCCAGACUGGCUCCCACCCGUCUCCUGGCAGCAGCCUCUCAGGUCCCAGAAGCUGAUAAUGGUGUGAUAAAUGGGCCUUUUAGAAUGGAGGCAAGGGUGUGGUGAACUGAAAAUCCUGAGCAAAGGGGUCAUCUCCCCAUCCAGAGGAAAACCAUUGCCAGGCUUGGGUGCUGGAAGGGGAAAUCUUCAAGCUGAAGGCAGAGCUCAACAGUGACAAGAAGGAGAAGAAGGAGGCAGUGAAGAAAGUGAUUGCAUCGAUGACCGUGGGCAAAGAUGUCAGGUAUGCAGGAGUAGGCCUGGUGGCAGCUGGAAGCUGGCUGACAGGGGAGGGUUUAUAGCUUGGGUCCACUUCAGUCUCUUCUUUAGGUUGUCUAGGGACCCAUGUCUCCCCUCAUACAGCUCCCUUCAUAAAACUUUUUUUCCCCAGUAGAAGGUUUUGUUUACACAGGAAAGCCCCGGUACUGACAGGUCAGGUGGUGAUGGAGUGAGUGAACUAGAGGAGGUGGGAAAGGCAGCAGGCGAUGGAGUAGGUAUGGCAUGAACCUUCUCAGAAACUCCAGAGGAUAACUACUGGCUGGGGAAGAGGACCCAGCCAGGUCUUAUGGUUUUAAAAAAGAAUGGGAGGCCGGGCGCGGUGGCUCAAGCCUGUAAUCCCAGCACUUUGUGAGGCCGAGGCGGGUGGAUCACGAGGUCAACAGAUCGAGACCAUCUUGGUCAACAUGGUGAAACCCCGUCUCUACUAAAAUUACAAAAAAUUAGCUGGGCACGGUGGUGCGUGCCUGUAAUCCCAGCUACUCGGGAGGCUGAGGCAGGAGAAUUGCCUGAACGCAGGAGGCGGAGGUUGCGGUGAGCCGAGAUCGCGCCAUUGCACUCCAGCCUGGGUAACAAGAGGGAAACUCUGUCUCAAAAAAAAAAAAAAAAAAAAAGAAUGGGAAAUCUGUGCUGGGUGCUGUGCCUCAUGCCUGUAAUCCUAGCACUUUGGGAGGCCGAAGUGGGUGGAUCAAGAGGUCAGGAGUUCAAGACCAGCUGGGCCAGUAUGGUGAGAUGCUGUCUCUACUAAAAAUACAAAAAUCAGCCAGGCAUGGUGGUGCAUGCCUGUAAUCUCAGUUACUCGGGAGGCUGAGACAGGAGAAUCACUUGAACCUGGGAGGCAGAGGUUGCAGUGAGCUGAGAUUGUGCCACUGCACUCCAGCCUGGGUAACAGAGUGAGACGCCGCCCCCCCCUCCAAAAAAUUAAAUAAAUAAAAAUGGGAAAGCUGGACUUUUCA
rnacentral:lncRNA from 13 species